ensembl:lncRNA
UUCACACUCCCAUUCGCCCCCCCAUUGACAAACCCCCCCCCCAUUCUCUCUCUCUGUGCCGGCCGCCCCCGCGCUGUCGCGCAGACGACGUGGUGUCCAAUUACUUCACUCAGGGGAAGCGCUCUCAGCGCUCGGGCCUUCUGCGCGUCUUCGGCCUCCUCCGGGACGCGGUGCUGCCGCGCCGACAGAAGAUCUACUGAGCGCCCCACACUGCGCCCCACACACACGGGGGGGGCUCUGCCCCAUAGCGCCGCGGCUCUGCCCCAUAGAGAUGCGGCUCUGCCCCAUAGCGCCGCGGCUCUGCCCCAUAGAGAUGCGGCUCUGCCCCAUAGAGAUGUGGCUCUGCCCCAUAGCUGUACAGCUCUGCCCAUAGAGAUGCGGCUCUGCCCCAUAGCUGUGAGGCUCUGCCCCAUAGCUGUACAGCUCUGCCCAUAGAGAGGCAGCUCUGCCCCAUAGCGCCGCGGCUCUGCCCCAUAGCGCUGCGGCUCUGCCCCAUAGCGCCACGGCUCUGCCCCAUAGAGAUGUGGCUCUGCCCCAUAGCUGUGAGGCUCUGCCCCAUAGCGCCGCGGCUCUGCCCCAUAGAGAUGUGGCUCUGCCCCAUAGCUGUACAACUCUGCCCAUAGAGAGGCAGCUCUGCCCCAUAACGCCGCGGCUCUGCCCCAUAGCGCUGCGGCUCUGCCCCAUAGCACCGCGGCUCUGCCCCAUAGCUGUGAGGCUCUGCCCCAUAGCGCCGCGGCUCUGCCCCAUAAGAUGUGGCUCUGCCCCAUAGCUGUGAGGCUCUGCCCCAUAGCGCCGCGGCUCUGCCCCAUAGUGCGGCUGUGCCCCAUAGCGCCGCGGCUCUGCCCCAUAGCUGUACAGCUCUGCCCAUAGCAAUGCGGCUCUGCCCCAUAGAGAUGUGGCUCUGCCCCAUAGCUGUACAGCUCUGCCAAUAGAGAGGCAGCUCUGCCCCAUAGCGCCGCGGCUCUGCCCAUAGAGAUGUGGCUCUGCCCCAUAGAGAUGUGGCUCUGCCCCAUAGCUGUGAGGCUGUGCCCCAUAGCACCACGGCUCUGCCCCAUAGAGAUGUGGCUCUGCCCCAUAGCUGUGCGGCUCUGCCCCAUAGAGAUGUGGCUCUGCCAAUAGGGAUGUGGCUCUGCCCCAUAGCGCCGCGGCUCUGCCCCAUAGCACUGCGGCUCUGCCCCAUAGCGCCGCGGCUCUGCCCAUAGCGCCACGGCUCUGCCCCAUAGAGAUGUGGCUCUGCCCCAUAGCUGUGAGGCUCUGCCCCAUAGCGCCGCGGCUCUGCCCCAUAGAGAUGUGGCUCUGCCCCAUAGCUGUACAACUCUGCACAUAGAGAGGCAGCUCUGCCCCAUAGCUGUGAGGCUCUGCCACAUAGCAGUGCAGCUCUGCCCAUAGAGAUGUGGCUCUGCCCCAUAGAGAUGUGGCUCUGCCCCAUAGCUGUGAGGCUCUGCCCCAUAGCACUGCGGCUCUGCCCAUAGCAGUGUGGCUCUGCCCCAUAGCGAUGCGGCUCUGCCCCACAGCACUGCGGCUCUGCCCCAUAGCACCACGGCUCUGCCCAUAGAGAUGUGGCUCUGCCCCAUAGAGAUGUGGCUCUGCCCCACAGCUGUGCAGCUCUGCCCCCCCUCCCCCCCCCCCGGCCCUGUGAAGGACUGUAAUAUGGGGGGGGGGGGGAAUGGAUGUAGGGGGGGGGGCUGAGGAUGGCCGCCCCACAGCGGCCCCACAGUGCGUCGUGACCCCCCCUUCCCCCCCCCCCCCCCCCCCCCAACGGUGUCGGGCUGAGGUUGACGCAGAACUGUCGGUUAAUUAAAGUUAAUUGUAAUUAGUAAUGAAAGGCAGCGCUCCA